rnacentral:lncRNA from 1 species
GCUGGAUUAGUUUUACCUUUGACGAGAUAUCUUGUGCAUCGGGAUUCCGGUGAUGCUUUGGGUAAUCUCAGAGUUGAGGUUUUCCACUAGGGAAUCCGACGAGAUCGUGAGUUUCGUGAUUGAGGAUUUCUAUGCGGAUUGUGGUAAUUUGUGAUGCACUAGUUGGAGCACCCCUGCAGGGUUAAGUCUUUCGGAAAGCCGUGCCCGCGGUUAUGUGGCAACAUGGAAACUUUGUUUAACACUGGUUCUAGAUAACUUGAAGUUAAACUUAAUUAAAAUAUGCCAACUGUGUGCGUAACCG